rnacentral:tRNA from 1 species
AAAGGGAGACCUAAUUCGGGUAGGAGACGAAAAAAAAGUAGUCCCUACCAAGAAUCAAUCCCAAAAGGUCGGAGCGAGGCGAAAUUGGCUUUCAAACUAGGUUCUGGGUUCACACAAGACCUGAAUCAGGAACAAGGGCUAUUAGCUCAGGUGGUUAGAGCGCACCCCUGAUAAGGGUGAGGUCCCUGGUUCGAGUCCAGGAUGGCCCACCUGCACAGGUGGCAAAAACAGAGAAAAAAAGCUCCGAAUCAGCACCUUAUCUUACUUAUAUAGUAAGAGAGAAUGCUGGCUCUGAGUUCAGAGUCCAGAGGAACCUUGAAAACUGCAUAGAGCUAGGUGAAAAAGCCAAAAAAGAAGACCGUCAG